rnacentral:lncRNA from 1 species
GGCCCGAUUGGAAACAGCAAAACAAAGUAAACUACAAGAAAAAGAAAACAAACUAACAGAAAAGGAAAUAAACUCAAAUGUCUGGAAAAAAAAUCAGCUUCUCCGGUGUGACAAUAGCCGGAGAAUCCUCCCAAAGUGACGACCAGUCCUUCCAAAUACUAACCUCCUCUUGAUAUGAGCUUUGUUCGAUAUCGAUCCAGGUACGGGCUGCAAUCACGUCCACAUCAACAAAUCUCACUGAUGUAAUGGUUCAAAUACCUUUGAAGACUUCUUCUACCUGAAUUUUAUCGAUCUGAGCUAGAUCUCAAGUUAUGCACAAGAAUUUUGGGGACACGCUUCAGUCGCCAUCCAGAUUUGAAGACAAGAUCUAUCGAGAUAAGUUUUACCUUUAUAAUUUAAUUACUCAUCUUUGAGAUAUGUUUUGAUACCUAGUCCUUGAUUAUUCUCCUCAACAGGUUGAAUCCCACCGGGAUUAAUACCACUGUUUAAGUCGACUAAUCUCUGACCUUGCAUCGCUCAACCUUUUCAGGAGACUAAGGUAAUCUUUCACCUUCUUAGUUUAGUCCUCUCCUGAUUUGCUUUGAACUGAUGUGGUGCUCUUUUUCUUUUUUAAGCACCAUUAUAAUGUUUGUUUUGAACUUUUCGGAUCCUCAAAUUAGGAGUCUUUUCUUUGUCUUAUUGCAAAAUAGCUUUCGCCUGUUGUGAUAGUUCCUGCAUAUUUCGAUAUUGUAAAAUGAGCAAACGACUUAGUUAAAGCAUCAUCGAGGCUAUUCCCUUCUCUGAGGACGUGAAUCACCUCCACCCCAUGACUCCUUAUCAUUGUCUGAAUGUGUCUAAUAUCCCAAGCUAUCUGCCAUGGGACCUCCCAUACUCCAUGUAUAACUUUCUGAGCCACUAGUGAGUCUGUCUCAAUUAUCAAGGGAAGGAAAUUUCCUUGACUGCAGUAUUGUAACCCUUCAUUAAUUGCCAUGACCUCUGCCUCCAAAAUAGAUGUAGUAUUAAUUCUUCUAGAUUCUGCAUAUUUCAAAUCUCCUCGUAUAUCUCUAAUACAAAAGGCUAUACACCCAACUCCUGAUUCAAGCUGAUAAGAAGCAUCAGUAUUGCAUUUAUAUACUCCCAUGGGGGAUGACUCCAUCUCACCACCAUAGAUUUUGUCAAUGGAGCAUAUCCUUCAAGAUAUUUGACAAUUAAGGGCCAAUUUUGAGGGACAUUUUUUAACCAUGGAUAUCUACUCUUAGUAAAUAAGUAGAUGUUUCUAUGUAUCUCUACAAUCAUUAGGGUUGUUGACAUAUUUCCACCAUGCUUCAUUACAUUCCUCUUCUUCCAAAUUUCCCAAGUUAUGAAAACAGGAACUACUUUAAACAAUUGCUUCAAUUUAGGACUACCAUCAGCUUUCCACCAAUCUUUCAUAAUCUGUUGAAGCUGAUUAAUUGGAAAUGAUAACCCUGCAGCAUUUCUAAAAGUUUUCCAAACAGAUUGAGCACUAGGACAAUUGACAAAAAGAUGAGAGAAAGUUCCAAGAGCACUAUUAUUACAGUAGCUACAAUCAACCCUCUCCACUAUGUUCCUUCUAAUUAAGACCUCCCCAAUAGGAAUCCUUCUAAACCAUAAUCUCCACAUAAAAAAGGAUACCUUAAAAGGCAAACCUUUCUCCCAAAUUUUGGAGAUAUCUUCUAUAUACUCUCCUCUACUUCUGCAUAAUUCCCAGGCUGAGCUAACUUUGAAUUUACCAUCACUACUAGGCAUCCACCAUGCUUUAUCUCUUCAUUCAGUACUAGUAAAGCUUCCUAAGGUAUUGCAUAUGUGAUUGCAUAUAUCCUCAUUGAAAUUACUUUCCAGUGCAUUAAUCUUCCAUCCAUCUUCAGCAUAUAGUUCCUUGACAUUUCCAGUUGACUUUGGUUAUGUGAUAUAGGCAUCAAAAAAUGCAAAGCACACAGUUGUGUCCAGUUAUCAAACCACACACUAGCAUGUCCUUCUCUAGGUUCCCACCAGAUCUCUUGAUCAAAGAAACCCCUAGCUUGUAACAUAGUUUUCCAAACUUGAUAUCCUUCUUUUUAGUCCACCAAUUAUGGCCUUUGUCUUUAACAAUACUUAUUUCACAUAAAAUUAGUUCACAUGGUAUUUUUUGUUCUAAAAUUCCACCACAGCUUAGCAAAUAAAACUUUGGAGACAUCAAAUAAAGAUCUAAAACCUAAACCUCCCUCCUCCUUGGGCAGAUAAAUAUCCCCCUAUGCUACCCAGUGAGUGGCUCUUCCUUGUUCUUUAUAAUUCCACAAGAAUUUUGCAAAAAUUUAUGAAUAUCAUCAAUGACACAUUUAGGAGGCGUGAUAGCUGAGAGGAGGUAGACACGAAUACUCUGCAAUACAUGGUUAAUCAACACUGCUUUGCCCCAUUAGAUAAAAGUUUCCCUUUCCACAUUUGAAGUUUAUUCUGAAUCUUCUUGAUGAGCUCUUUGAAAUGAAUCUUAUUCUUCUUAGCAUGACCAAUAGGACAACCCAAAUAAGUUAAAGGAAAACUGCCUUUGCAGAAACCUGUGAUUUCCUCCACCAUUUGAACAGAGCUAAGAGCAGCUUUGUUAAACAAGUAAAAUAAACUGUUUUCUUUGUUUAUAAGCUGUCCUGAUUGCUGUUCAUACAUUUUCAAUGUGUGCAUUAUCAACUUGAGAGAACUCCUAUCAGCAAAGGCAAAAAUAAUUGUAUCAUCAGCAUAAGAUAAGUGAUUCAACUGUUCACUCCAUUUAGGAAGACCAUAUCCUUUAUAUUCCUCUUCUAGGAAUAGAUGAUUUAGAGCUCUCGUUAAUACCUCAGCAGUAAGUAUAAACAAAGCAAGAGACAAAGGAUCUCUUUGUUUAACUCCUCUUGAUUAAUGGAAAAAACCAUAUGCUUGACCAUUAAUCAAUAUAGAGUACCAAUUAUUAGCAAUAAUUCUCCAAAUCAUGUCAAGCAUCAUAGAAUUGAAACCCAUUUUUCCAUUACUUUAAUAAAAAAUCUCCAAUCAACCCUGUCAUACGCCUUUUCCAUGUCAAGCUUGAUAAUUACAUUAUCUGGUUUGCUCCUCAACCUAAUAUCAGUAACAAUUUCUUGAGCCAGCAAUACAUUUUCAGUAAUAUUUCUUCCUUUGACAAAUUCAGAUUGAUUCUGGGAUAUCAAUCUAGGAAGCAACACCUCCAUUCUAUCAUGCACCAAUCUAGAUAUGAUUUUAUUAAGAAAAUUACUCAAGCUAAUAGGUCUAAGAUCAGAAAAGGAUUGAGGAAAAUCCUUUUUAGGUAAUAGCACCAAGUUAGUAUGAGUAAUAGACUUAGGUAAAGUAGCUCCUUUGAAGAAAGCUUAAACUACUUUUAUCACAUCUGAACCAAUAGUGUCCUAACAGUUCUGAUAAAAACAACCAGAAAAACCAUCUGGUCCACAAAAGAUUUAUGCAUUUAACUCAAAUACUACCCUCUUAAUCUCAACCUCAUCAGGUAACUUGGUCAAUAUAUCAUUUUCCUUUUGUGAGAUUACAGGAUUAAUAUGCAUUAGUAGAGAUAAGUUAGAAUGAUUAACCCUGCAGUAAAUUGUUUGGUAAAAAAAUUAACCCUUUCCUCUGCAAUCGCAUUUUCUGAUUCUGCCCAUGAGCCAUCAGAUUUAAUUAUUCUCCUCAUGUAAAGCCUCUUUCUUCUUCCUCUCACUAAACUGUGAAAAAAUUUAGUGUUCAUGUCCCCUUCCUCAAACCACUGCACACUAGAUUUUUAUCUCCAAAACUCUUCUUCAAAGUGUAAAUAAACCUUCAGCUCUGUAUGAGCAUUCUGAAGAAUACUUCUGUUAGCGGGUGAUGGAUCGUCAAGAAAUAGUUGCUCCUUCAAUUUCACUAUCUCUUCUCUAAUUGCUAAUUGUUUAAAAAUAUCCCCAAAAUUUUCUUUACUCCACUUAGCUAAAGCCUUCUUGGUCCUCUACUGUUUCUGCUUAAGUUGUACAAAAAUAUCAUCUGAACUCUCAGCCACCCAGUUCUGCUCCACUUCUUCUUUAAAAUCCUCUCUUUCAGUCCAAAACUUGAGAAACCUAAAAGGUUUGACAAUAUUACAUUUACUGGCUCCAUAAGUAAGCAGGAGUGGGGCAUGAUCAGACCUAGUCCUAGCCAAAUGUUGUACCCAUGAAUUGCCAUAUAAGUCCAAAAAUAAAUUAUUCACCACUACCCUAUCCAAUCUCUUAAAAAUGCAUUCCCCAUCUACCCUACCAUUCUACCAGGUGAAAGGGUUUCCUGAGAAAGUAAUAUCAGCCAAACCACUUGCAUUUAAACAUUCAGCAAAAUCCUCAUACUCUUGGGGAUAUACUGGUAAACCACCAAUCUUUUCUUUUUCACUCAAUAUCACAUUAAAAUCACUCCCGAUCAUCCAGGGGACAACAUAUUCCUGACUUAUUGUGAAUAUCUCAUCCCAGAGCGAAAGUCUCUCAAUAGCAGAACAUUUUGCAUAUACAGCAGAUACCAAAAGUUGUUCCCCAUUUUCCAGAGUGAGUUGUAAAGUUAAUUGUUGCUCUGAGUCAGCUAUAACUCCUACAUAAACGUGUUGCUUCACAAACACCCAAAUUUGACCAUUCACAUUAUAGUUGACAUAGUGCAUCCCCAAUCUUCUUUUGUAUCUCUGAAUAUGCUUAGAAUUUUGAAAUGGCUCCAUUAAUGCAAUCAACAAAAACUUAUGAUGUUUGUGGAGCAUUUGAACUCUGUGAAAUGCUUGUUGAGUAUUAACAGACCUAAUAAUCCAAAAUAAAGCUUUGUACUUCAUUUAGAAACUGUUUUGGCAACCCUUCUAGCUUGAACCCUUGUAGGUAAAAUACAAUUACUGUCUCCAUUAGCUUUACCUUUUCUUCCUUUUGUGCAUAACUUAGGUGAUAAGCCUGCCCCUUUGCAUACUUGAACCAAGUUAGAGUCAUUUUCCCCCUUUUCAAUUUCUUCUAGGUAUUCACUGUCUCCUACUUCAAGCUCUUGAUUUUCCUUAUUUUGGUCUUUGGUUUAGUUGCUCCAUCUUAUGAGACACCAAAGCAUGCAGAGCUUCCAUUAGUGAUGAUUUGCUAGUAUUGAAAUUUGUAAUACUUGCAUUUGUGCACUCUUGCACCUCCUGGUUCUGCUGGAAUUGGAUCUGCACCUUACCUUCCGCCACCAUCUGCAAAGGUUCCUGGUAUGUUGCUAUUUCCAUGUCUUGUACUGUGACAAUUGUUUUCAUUUCACCCUCCAGCAUACUACUUGUAUUUUCAGUUUGUUCUUCCCCUAAUUGCUCACUUUUUUUAUCACUUGCAGGUGCAUCAUCACAGGCAGUCCCUACUCCAGUAACAGCCUUCACAGCUGCAUCAUAUACUACUACUGCUCCUCCAUCUAUUUGUUGUACAACAUUCUGCACUAGUGUUCCAGCCUCCUCUACCCUUUGCCCUAAAUACUCUUUCACUUUUGUGUCCAUGUUAUUAUUGUUGUUGUUGGUUUGUUUCUCUUGUUGUGUAAAUACCUCUGUGACCCAUUCCUUGGUUGAUACAUGCUGAUGAAAGUUGUCGUCUAUAUGCGUAUGAUUGUUUUUGUCUAUUUCUUUUGCCCUGCCAUUAGUCGAUAGAUUAUCAC